UCUCUCUUACAGGUGGGAAGGGCGAGUACGUCUACUGGACUGGCUCAGACACGAUCUCUGCACAGACGCUGAUGCAGAGUUUGGAUGGACAGAGGAUGAAGUGGCAGAUCUCCAUGACAACACAACAAUUAUCAUCGCGGCUGACGUGUGCUACGAUGACGACCUGACAGACGCGCUGUUCCGAACGCUGUAACAGAA